GAACUUUUGGCUCAACUGGUAAGAGGGAUACCAAUGGAGAAAUAGGUCAUGGGUUCGAUUCCCAACGAGGCCA